rnacentral:tRNA from 1 species
GAGAAUACAGCUCAGUGGUAGAGUGCAUGCCUAGCAUGCAUAAGGCCCUGGGUUCGAUCUCCAGUACUUCCA